CAGCAUUGAUUGUGGACUGUGUAAAUCGUGAGUGCUAAUAUUAGCCGUAUUUAUACUUUGAUAAUUCCUACUUGACUUACAUGAGGAUUGCAUUUAACAUUUCAAGUGUGUCAUUAUUAAAGAGGGAUGUUGAUAUAAAUAUAAGUAUGGCGAUGUAAACAUUGGAAGUGAUCUGUUUCUUUCUUGCUACAGCCUACAGGGACACAGAUUGCUAUGACUGGCUUAAAUUUGGACAAUUUGAGUGCACAAUUCAAAGUUUACUUGUUUAUAUUACAUACUGUCGUCCUUGGAUGGAUUGUACAUAUUCUUACGAACGUGUUUCAUAAAUAUAUAUCAGAAUCGAAUAAUAAAUAUGUCGCCAAUAUUACAAAGGAUUCUCCAUCUGUCCGCAUCGUGCAUGUUGAUGACAAGCGUGUGACAGUGGAAUCAUGUCACUGGCUCAAUUCUAUAUUAAAUUGGCUAUAUAUGAAUGCUUCAAACACUCCAGAUCUAGUCAAAAUUUGGUUGACUAUGCUGAAUGAAAAGUUGAAAACUGAUCAGG